rnacentral:rRNA from 1 species
UAAUACGGAGGGAGCUAGCGUUGUUCGGAAUUACUGGGCGUAAAGCGUACGUAGGCGGUUAUUCAAGUCAGAGGUGAAAGCCUGGAGCUCAACUCCAGAACUGCCUUUGAAACUAGAUAGCUAGAAUCUUGGAGAGGUUAGUGGAAUUCCGAGUGUAGAGGUGAAAUUCGUAGAUAUGCACAAGAACACCGGUGGCGAAGGCGAUUUUCUGGAGCGGUAUUGACGCUAAGGUACGAAAGCGUGGGGAGCAAACAGGAUUAGAUACCCUGGUAGUCCACGCUGUAAACGAUGAUUGUUAGAUGUCCGGGCUCAUACCUUUCGAA